rnacentral:rRNA from 1 species
UUGACCUCGGAUCAGGUAA